UGAUCAACGGCCAGAAAUUGUGCUGUGGCGUUGGAUAAUAACAUGUAUCAGCACGGCGCACAAUGGCUCAGCUCCCCCAAUGAAUAGUUAUCGUUCUCCAUGGAUGCGCUCUGCUCCCCUUCUGUUAAAUCACCGCCAGUUUCAUUCAUGUACUUUUGUCUUUCUUUUAAACUUGAACUUCGUUAGUGACCGUUAUAUUUAUACUAUCAAGAUCCAAACCCCCCUGGUGGAUUGAUUGGGAUUUUAUUAAGGAUUUUGGAGAUACAAUUUGUUGGGAUUGAAUAUGAAUUAGUUAAUGCUACGAGGUUCAUAAUCUUGAUCUGUAAAAUGGGUUUGUUCGUUGAUUUAACGGUGUUCUUCUCCAUUUUGUCCUCAAGGAAUAGCAAAGUCGCAUGAAAACUAUGUGCCCACAUUUGUAUUACUGGAUGCCAAAAAAUUCACUAACAUGGAUGUAUAAACAGCUAAAUUUGAUGAAUGAUAGAAUGUUAGCUGUCUACCAUUACGAAUUCUGGUUGGUUAAAAUGUAAAAUUGGUUGAAAUUCCGAGUCUGGGGGGCACAGCAUAUUAUGCUUCAUUUUAAGUUCAAAACAGUGCCUUGCGCGCAGGUGUGAUCUUUGAAGUCAGAGGGAGCAGAUAUGGUGAUGAAGGUUUCUGAGAAUGGAACAGAUAUAUGUCAAGAUGACAUGGGCUCCAUGGAAGAAACACCUGAAGACACGAUAUUGGUGCGACAGAAUUCAGUAAACCUUGUUCCAUUUAUUGGCCAAAGGUUUAUAUCUCAAGAUUCUUCUUAUGAAUUUUAUUGCAGUUUUGCAAAGCAAUGUGGGUUUUCAAUUAGAUGUCACCGUAUUCAUGGAAAGGAUGGAGUUUGUCUAGGAGUCACGAGAAGAUAUUUCACCUGCCAUCGCGGUGGUUAUCCACAGAUGAAACUGUCUGAAGAUGGAAAGAUGAAAAGGAAUCGCUAUUCAUCACGUUGCGGCUGUUAAUCGUCCAUGCGCAUAUUGUGAAGCGGGCGGAUUUUGAUGUCCCUGAAUGGCAUGUUACAGGCUUUAGCAACAUCCACAACCAUGAAAUGUUAAAAUCGAAUGAAGUGCACCUCCUUCCUGCCUAUUGCACUAUUUUUUCAGAUGACGAGAGUCGCAAUUGCAUUUUUGCAAAAGCUGGAAUGUCGGUGCGACAGUUGUUACGAUUGAUGGAGCUAGAGAAAGAUGUGAAGCUAGGAUGCUUGCCUUCUACAGAAAUAGAUGCAAGAAACUAACUGCUGUCUUUCAGAAUUGUUAAUCAAGACAAUGAUGCGAUUGAUCUUAUUGCGAUGUUCAAGAAACUGAAAGAUGAAGAUCACAGCUUUAAAUAUAACUUCAAAAUUGGUCGCCACAACAGGUUAGAGGAUAUCGUGUGGUCCUAUGCUUCAUCUGUUCAUUUAUACGAGGCAUGUAGCGAUGCAGUGGUUUUUGACACAACCCACCAUCUGGAUGCCUGUGAUAUGCGGUUAGGUAUUUGGGUUGGAGUAGAUAAUCAUGGGAUGACCUGUUUUUUCAGUUGCGUACUUCUACGUGAAGAAGAUACAUAAUAUUUUUCUUGGGCUUUGAAGCUGGCUGAUAUUGUUGAUUACAAGUCAGAGAUGCCACAAAAGCUGAAUAGUGUUUUCCUGAAACAGUUUCACCCAUUGAAUCACAUGCAGCAUCUGUUCUUACUCCAUAUGCCUUUGGCAAACUCCAAGAAUAGCUCGUGUUAGCUCCACAGUAUGCAUCUUUCCCAAUAGACGAAUAUUGUUUCCAAGUCAGACACCAUACUCAGAUAAAUGGGGCUUGCAAAGUCAUCUGGGAUUCAUAUCAAGGGCACAUCAGCUGUGGCUGCAAUUGGUUUGAAUUUCCAGGCAUCCUCUGUAGACAUGUUCUCCUUGUUCUGUCAACCAAUUAACUGUUUUCAAAUUCCCGAUGGCGUGAAGUUAGUUCAAUUACCAGUUCAAGGAUGCAGUCCGAGAAAAUUCAGUUACUAGAAUGCAUAGCUUGUACAAUUAUGGCAGAAUCGGUUGAAACAGAGGAAUGCCUUGAUGUUGCUUGUGAGCAAAUUUCCAUGGUAUUAUCGCAUAUUAGAGGCCUUCCUAGACAGAUACACGGUGAAAAUGCCUUUAACUGCCCGUCAGACUCGAUGAUUUUACCAGAGGUAGAAGAUUCUGGUGGAACAGUCACUCUAGGAAAGCUAAAAGAGCGACGGCCCAGAGGUGGAGUUGAUAUUUCUAGAAAAAGAAGGCACUACUUGAGUCCUUGCUGUGGGCGUUUUGGACAUGAUGCAUCAGAUUGUCCAAUGAUGAGAAGCGAACAUUUGAAUGGCUCUGAGCUAGUAUACUGGUAGAGUAGGAUAGUGGAGAUGGUAGUUUUUAUCAAAAGAAAUCAGAUCACAGUUGUUAGUGUCCAUUUCUACAAACAGUUCAUCGUUUAUCCUUCCAAAUGUUACUACGCAAGUAUUUGAGUGCUCUCAGCCAAAAACACCUGCUCAUUUAUCAAGGGCUUUUACUUUCAUUGAAGCGAUAACAUGUCCACAGUCACGUCUCAUUAUAGCCAAGCCUGCAAAAGAAUUCCAUUCGUUUGUUUUAAAAUCACGGCGUUUUUAAGCAAGUGUUAACACCAUAAAUAUGACCUUUUUCCCCUAUUUCCUUUGUCGCUCAUGCUGGCCAAGUCUUUUGCACACUUCAAGCCAUGCUGGGAUAAUGCACCUGCCGUACAGCUCUUCUUAUGAUAUACCUUAGUCGGAUGAAUCGUCAGCCAAAGAAACCUUGCUUGGCCUACUUGGCAGCAAUCUAGCACCAUUGUUCUUGAUUUUUCUGCCCUUCGAGCUAUGAUUCCGUGACCCAAAAAGUGCUCUCUGUGCAAGUGCUUUCUCAAGAUUAGAGUUGCUUGCGCUUUUCGUGCUGGGCAUUUUUUCUGGAAGAAUAGCUUGUUUGCUGCUGGUGGAAGCAUUAAGAUCACCAACAUCGGCAUUCUCAGAAGCCAUCUCUUCCAGAAUGCAGGCAUGAAAUGGAGGAGGACUAUGUGACUGAUAAGCUGGUAAUCAAGAUUGGUGAGUGUUUAAGGUUUUAUAUAUGACUGAUAAUAUAAAAAGUUAAAAACCCAUGGGAAACUGCUAUAAGGAAUAUGUUGGAAACAAGUGGGGUGAUAGGGAGAAGACAUGUUUGUGGGACGCAGAAAGAAUCUCCAUUUAAAAAUUCCUACUCAUGGAAUAAAUCUCCUAUUUCUUCCGUGUUAAGCAAAUGUAGA